GGCGGCGGCGAUAGCACGUUGAAUAGAUGCGGGGUUGUCCGUGUUUUUCUUAUUCCAAGCACUUCACAGACUUCUUGGAAAACUUGCGACUCAAAGUUUCCAAUAGAUCACCGAAGUUAAGCCAACGUUGCGCGUGGUUAGUAUUCGGAUGGGUGACCACCCGGACAAUCGCCUGCUGCUGGCU
rnacentral:rRNA from 1 species